rnacentral:rRNA from 1 species
AACGUACGCUGGCGGCACGCCUAACACAUGCAAGUCGAACGAAGUAGCAAUACUUAGUGGCAGACGGGUGAGUAACAUGUAGGUAUCUGCCCUUUGGCCUGGAAUAACACGAGGAAACUUGUGCUAAUACCGGAUAAGUCUUUACGGAGAAAGCUUUAUGCACCAUUGGAUGAGCCUGCACUUGAUUAGUUUGUUGGUGGGGUAAUGGCCUACCAAGACUGUGAUCAAUAGCUGAUUUGAGAGGAUGAUCAGCCACAUUGGGACUGAGACACGGCCCAAACUCCUACGGGAGGCAGCAGUGGGGAAUCUUGCACAAUGGAGGAAACUCUGAUGCAGCGAUGCCGCGUGAGUGAAGAAGGCCUUUGGGUUGUAAAGCUCUUUCGUCGGGGAAGAAAAUGACUGUACCCGAAUAAGAAGGUCCGGCUAACUUCGUGCCAGCAGCCGCGGUAAUACGAAGGGACCUAGCGUAGUUCGGAAUUACUGGGCUUAAAGAGUUCGUAGGUGGUUGAAAAGGUUAGUGGUGAAAUCCCAGAGCUUAACUCUGGAACUGCCAUUAAAACUUUUCAGCUAGAGUAUGAUAGAGGAAAGCAGAAUUUCUAGUGUAGAGGUGAAAUUCGUAGAUAUUAGAAAGAAUACCAAUUGCGAAGGCAGCUUUCUGGAUCAUUACUGACACUGAGGAACGAAAGCAUGGGUAGCGAAGAGGAUUAGAUACCCUCGUAGUCCAUGCCGUAAACGAUGUGUGUUAGACGUUGGAAAUUUAUUUUCAGUGUCGCAGGGAAACCGAUAAACACACCGCCUGGGGAGUACGACCGCAAGGUUAAAACUCAAAUGAAUUGACGGGGACCCGCACAAGUAGUGGAGCAUGUGGUUUAAUUCGAAGAUACGCGCAGAACCUUACCAACACUUGACAUGUUCGUCGCGACUCUAAGAGAUUAGAGUUUUCGGUUCGGCCGGACGAAACACAGGUGCUGCAUGGCUGUCGUCAGCUCGUGUCGUGAGAUGUUGGGUUAAGUCCCGCAACGAGCGCAACCCUCACUUUUAGUUGCCAUCAUUAAGUUGGGCACUCUGAAAGAACUGCCAGUGAUAAGCUGGAGGAAGGUGGGGAUGACGUCAAGUCCUCAUGGCCCUUACGUGUUGGGCUACACACGUGCUACAAUGGUAUCUACAACAGGAAGCAAGACUGCGAAGUUAAGCAAAUCCCUAAAAGAUACCUCAGUUCGGAUUGCACUCUGCAACUCGAGUGCAUGAAGCUGGAAUUACUAGUAAUCGUGGAUCAGCGUGCCACGGUGAAUGCGUUCCCGGGUCU